rnacentral:SRP_RNA from 1 species
UGCUGAUCAGGUGUCUACUCUAAGUUCGGCAUCAAAAUGGUGACCUCCAGGGAGUGAUGGGGAGCACCAGGUUGCCUAAGGAGGGGUGAACCGAUCCAGGUCGGAAACAGAGCAGGUCAAAACUCCUGUGCUGAUCAGCAGGAAAGCAAUCUUAUGAACA